UACGUAGGGCGCAAGCGUUAUCCGGAAUUAUUGGGCGUAAAGAGCUCGUAGGCGGUUUGUCGCGUCUGCUGUGAAAACCCGAGGCUCAACCUCGGGCCUGCAGUGGGUACGGGCAGACUAGAGUGCGGUAGGGGAGAUUGGAAUUCCUGGUGUAGCGGUGGAAUGCGCAGAUAUCAGGAGGGACACCAAUGGCGAAGGCAGAUCUCUGGGCCGUAACUGACGCUGAGGAGCGAAAGCAUGGGGAGCGAACAGG
rnacentral:rRNA from 1 species